GUGGGGAAUCUUCCACAAUGGACGAAAGUCUGAUGGAGCAACGCCGCGUGAGUGAAGAAGGGUUUCGGCUCGUAAAGCUCUGUUGUCGGGGACGAAUGUGCAGUAUUUGAAUAAAGUACUGUAAUGACGGUACCUGACGAGGAAGCCACGGCUAACUACGUGCCAGCAGCCGCGGUAAUACGUAGGUGGCAAGCGUUGUCCGGAAUUAUUGGGCGUAAAGGGAGCGCAGGCGGGAAGGUAAGUCGGUCUUAAAAGUGCGGGGCUCAACCCCGUGAUGGGAUCGAAACUAUCUUUCUUGAGUGCAGGAGAGGAAAGUGGAAUUCCUAGUGUAGCGGUGAAAUGCGUAGAUAUUAGGAGGAACACCAGUGGCGAAGGCGACUUUCUGGACUGUAACUGACGCUGAGGCUCGAAAGCCAGGGGAGCGAACGGGAUUAGAAACCCCAGUAGUCC
rnacentral:rRNA from 1 species